rnacentral:rRNA from 1 species
CCUACGGGGGACAGCAGUGAGGAAUAUUGGUCAAUGGACGAGAGUCUGAACCAGCCAAGUAGCGUGAAGGAUGACUGCCCUAUGGGUUGUAAACUUCUUUUAUAUGGGAAUAAAAUGUUCCACGUGUGGGAUUUUGUAUGUACCAUAUGAAUAAGGAUCGGCUAACUCCGUGCCAGCAGCCGCGGUAAUACGGAGGAUCCGAGCGUUAUCCGGAUUUAUUGGGUUUAAAGGGAGCGUAGGUGGAUUGUUAAGUCAAUUGUGAAAGUUUGCGGCUCAACCGUAAAAUUGCAGUUGAAACUGGCAGUCUUGAGUACAGUAGAGGUGGGCGGAAUUCGUGGUGUAGCGGUGAAAUGCUUAGAUAUCACGAAGAACUCCGAUUGCGAAGGCAGUUCACUGGACUGCAACUGACACUGAGGCUCGAAAGUGUGGGUAUCAAACAGGAUUAGAUACCCUUGUAGUC